GAUGAACGCUAGCGGGAGGCUUAACACAUGCAAGUCGAGGGGUAUAGUAGCAAUACUAGAGACCGGCGGACGGGUGCGUAACGCGUAUGCAACUUGCCUUAUACAGGGGGAUAGCCCGUGGAAACGCGGAUUAAUACCCCAUAUGUCAUUUGGGUCGCAUGGUCUGGAUGAUAAAACUGAGGUGGUAUAAGAUGGGCAUGCGUCUGAUUAGCUUGUUGGUAAGGUAACGGCUUACCAAGGCGACGAUCAGUAGCCGACCUGAGAGGGUAAUCGGCCACAUUGGAACUGAGACACGGUCCAAACUCCUACGGGUGGCUG
rnacentral:rRNA from 1 species